rnacentral:lncRNA from 12 species
AUGGACAAGGUGUUCGAUAGAAACAAACGGAAGCUCAGAGGGCAGAACUACGAACCAUGGAGUCCCUGCUACAGCUCCGGGCAGCAUCAGCCUAGUUGGACCCUAGAAUCUCGGGGAGCCGGUGAUCUUCUUCCACUCUCUAGCCUUCAAAGGGGCCUGUUGAUCGUAGGGAUCGUCCUGUCCCAUCACAGUAUAUUGCACGUGUGCAGGGAAGAGUGUUCCCAGAGUGUACUCUUCAGCUGCGCCCUCAGCCUGGGCCCCGGGAUGCAGGACGUGGAGCAGAUCCUAUGUCCUGGGUGGCUGCUGCUUGAAGAAGUUUCAGAUGCUGAGGGAACAGACCGGAGCCCAGAAAAGCUUGGAACCCCAAGCCAGGAGCUAGCCCAGCCCAACCCCUGCCCAGUGAACACAAGAAUGAACGGGGGCUGUUUGAAGCCACUACAUUUGGAGGAAUUUAUUAUGCUGCAUUAUUGUGACAAUAGUUUCAGUUAAAAAAGGCCAAGAGAAUGAUCUCACGAAGCUUGCCAACAGCCAGUCCUUGGGAUAGUGGACCACUUCUGGAUUCCAGGUAGGAAGAAAUGCCCUCUUCCCAUCUCCCUGCCAUUCCUGAUGUCAUACAGGCCCCAGAGCACCUCUGCUAAUGCCUGGCAUCUUAAACACACUAUAUGAGAAAGUAGCUCCCUCCAUCUCUGUCUUGCCCAGAAUUUCCAAGAAUCUUCCAUGAAAACAGCUGGCUCACCUUAUUGGCUUGUGUCUUCUGAUAUAGAUGCUGAAACUCAGUCCAAAGGGAGAAGGGAACAUAUGCCAUGGGUCUCUUCUCCUCUACUGUCCUGUUCCUCGUCCCCAGAGACUCCCUUUCACUAAUUCUUCCCUCUUCCUGGUUGCAAACAGAUGUGGUACUUAGCAGGGCGGGUUGUUCCUACUAGGAGAACUGAUCCUGCAGGCCAGCCAGCCACAAUGCCUUGAAGCGUG